GACCCAAUAGCUCCGUGGUUAGAGCGCUGGUACGUUAAAGCAGACACCUUGGGUUCGACUCACGGUGGGAGUCG